rnacentral:misc_RNA from 1 species
ACCUGUCUCUCCUAGUUUG